rnacentral:lncRNA from 1 species
CGAGUUUAAAUAGAUGCAGUAAUCAGUUUAAUCACAUGUAGUUGUCAGUCUUUAAUAAAAAAAUAAGUAUAGUUACCGAAUUUAAUAGAAAAAAGUGUACCUGUUAGCUUUAAUCUAGGAGGCAUAGAAUUGGUUACAAAUUAAAUAUCAGGUCUUUUGGGCUAGCUACUAAUGAUCUCACGUUGAGUUUCAAUAACUAGAGUAGGAAAAA